rnacentral:rRNA from 1 species
AGCGUACACGGUGGAUGCCCUGGCAGUCAGAGGCGAUGAAGGACGUGCUAAUCUGCGAUAAGCGUCGGUAAGGUGAUAUGAACCGUUAUAACCGGCGAUUUCCGAAUGGGGAAACCCAGUGUGUUUCGACACACUAUCAUUAACUGAAUCCAUAGGUUAAUGAGGCGAACCGGGGGAACUGAAACAUCUAAGUACCCCGAGGAAAAGAAAUCAACCGAGAUUCCCCCAGUAGCGGCGAGCGAACGGGGAGCAGCCCAGAGCCUGAAUCAGUGUGUGUGUUAGUGGAAGCGUCUGGAAAGGCGCGCGAUACAGGGUGACAGCCCCGUACACAAAAAUGCACAUGCUGUGAGCUCGAUGAGUAGGGCGGGACACGUGGUAUCCUGUCUGAAUAUGGGGGGACCAUCCUCCAAGGCUAAAUACUCCUGACUGACCGAUAGUGAACCAGUACCGUGAGGGAAAGGCGAAAAGAACCCCGGCGAGGGGAGUGAAAAAGAACCUGAAACCGUGUACGUACAAGCAGUGGGAGCCUCUUUAUGGGGUGACUGCGUACCUUUUGUAUAAUGGGUCAGCGACUUAUAUUCUGUAGCAAGGUUAACCGAAUAGGGGAGCCGAAGGGAAACCGAGUCUUAACUGGGCGUUAAGUUGCAGGGUAUAGACCCGAAACCCGGUGAUCUAGCCAUGGGCAGGUUGAAGGUUGGGUAACACUAACUGGAGGACCGAACCGACUAAUGUUGAAAAAUUAGCGGAUGACUUGUGGCUGGGGGUGAAAGGCCAAUCAAACCGGGAGAUAGCUGGUUCUCCCCGAAAGCUAUUUAGGUAGCGCCUCGUGAAUUCAUCUCCGGGGGUAGAGCACUGUUUCGGCAAGGGGGUCAUCCCGACUUACCAACCCGAUGCAAACUGCGAAUACCGGAGAAUGUUAUCACGGGAGACACACGGCGGGUGCUAACGUCCGUCGUGAAGAGGGAAACAACCCAGACCGCCAGCUAAGGUCCCAAAGUCAUGGUUAAGUGGGAAACGAUGUGGGAAGGCCCAGACAGCCAGGAUGUUGGCUUAGAAGCAGCCAUCAUUUAAAGAAAGCGUAAUAGCUCACUGGUCGAGUCGGCCUGCGCGGAAGAUGUAACGGGGCUAAACCAUGCACCGAAGCUGCGGCAGCGACGCUUAUGCGUUGUUGGGUAGGGGAGCGUUCUGUAAGCCUGUGAAGGUGUGCUGUGAGGCAUGCUGGAGGUAUCAGAAGUGCGAAUGCUGACAUAAGUAACGAUAAAGCGGGUGAAAAGCCCGCUCGCCGGAAGACCAAGGGUUCCUGUCCAACGUUAAUCGGGGCAGGGUGAGUCGACCCCUAAGGCGAGGCCGAAAGGCGUAGUCGAUGGGAAACAGGUUAAUAUUCCUGUACUUGGUGUUACUGCGAAGGGGGGACGGAGAAGGCUAUGUUGGCCGGGCGACGGUUGUCCCGGUUUAAGCGUGUAGGCUGAUUUUCCAGGCAAAUCCGGAAAAUCAAGGCUGAGGCGUGAUGACGAGGCACUACGGUGCUGAAGCAACAAAUGCCCUGCUUCCAGGAAAAGCCUCUAAGCAUCAGGUAACAUCAAAUCGUACCCCAAACCGACACAGGUGGUCAGGUAGAGAAUACCAAGGCGCUUGAGAGAACUCGGGUGAAGGAACUAGGCAAAAUGGUGCCGUAACUUCGGGAGAAGGCACGCUGAUAUGUAGGUGAAGUCCCUCGCGGAUGGAGCUGAAAUCAGUCGAAGAUACCAGCUGGCUGCAACUGUUUAUUAAAAACACAGCACUGUGCAAACACGAAAGUGGACGUAUACGGUGUGACGCCUGCCCGGUGCCGGAAGGUUAAUUGAUGGGGUCAGCGCAAGCGAAGCUCUUGAUCGAAGCCCCGGUAAACGGCGGCCGUAACUAUAACGGUCCUAAGGUAGCGAAAUUCCUUGUCGGGUAAGUUCCGACCUGCACGAAUGGCGUAAUGAUGGCCAGGCUGUCUCCACCCGAGACUCAGUGAAAUUGAACUCGCUGUGAAGAUGCAGUGUACCCGCGGCAAGACGGAAAGACCCCGUGAACCUUUACUAUAGCUUGACACUGAACAUUGAGCCUUGAUGUGUAGGAUAGGUGGGAGGCUUAGAAGUGUGGACGCCAGUCUGCAUGGAGCCGGCCUUGAAAUACCACCCUUUAAUGUUUGAUGUUCUAACGUGGACCCGUAAUCCGGGUUGCGGACAGUGUCUGGUGGGUAGUUUGACUGGGGCGGUCUCCUCCUAAAGAGUAACGGAGGAGCACGAAGGUUGGCUAAUCCUGGUCGGACAUCAGGAGGUUAGUGCAAUGGCAUAAGCCAGCUUGACUGCGAGCGUGACGGCGCGAGCAGGUGCGAAAGCAGGUCAUAGUGAUCCGGUGGUUCUGAAUGGAAGGGCCAUCGCUCAACGGAUAAAAGGUACUCCGGGGAUAACAGGCUGAUACCGCCCAAGAGUUCAUAUCGACGGCGGUGUUUGGCACCUCGAUGUCGGCUCAUCACAUCCUGGGGCUGAAGUAGGUCCCAAGGGUAUGGCUGUUCGCCAUUUAAAGUGGUACGCGAGCUGGGUUUAGAACGUCGUGAGACAGUUCGGUCCCUAUCUGCCGUGGGCGCUGGAGAACUGAGGGGGGCUGCUCCUAGUACGAGAGGACCGGAGUGGACGCAUCACUGGUGUUCGGGUUGUCAUGCCAAUGGCACUGCCCGGUAGCUAAAUGCGGAAGAGAUAAGUGCUGAAAGCAUCUAAGCACGAAACUUGCCCCGAGAUGAGUUCUCCCUGACUCCUUGA